rnacentral:lncRNA from 1 species
CGUGUCACGCCCCGGGACCCAGCGGAAGCCCGCCCGGCGCGUGCCCAGACCCGCCAUAUGUCUACAACAUAUAAGGCGUCUAAAAACAACAAUAAUAACAGCAAUAAUACAAGACGUCUAGUAGUAUCAGAGCAUAAUAAAAGUCUAAAUGCUACAACAAGGGAUAAAGUUAAAACAGUAAAUCCACUAAAUAAAACAUAAAGUAAGUACAAUAGGAAAUCCCAAAUACAAGAGCUAUAAGUAGGUACAUAGGUGGUCUCUAUACAUGGAUACAAAAUCUCUCACUCUCUCUCAACUACAAAAAGAAAGAGUAAACCACCUAGGCAAAGUACCGCUCCUCGCUAGCUAGCUAAGCGAUCCCCUUGCCGCGAUCCCGUGCCUCCGCCGGUGCCGAAGGCUCUGAAAAGUAAACCAUAAAACGGGGGCAUGAGAACUAUUAAAAAUAGUUCCCAGUGGGCAAUUACUGACUUCAGUGCAUGCACCACAAGGCCCAAAGCUACAAAAGAUGUCAGUGACAAUAAAAGUAGAAAGGCGACAGGUAAGUAAAUAUGUAACCUACUACGACAUGAUAUCUCUACUUAGCAUGAAUAGCAUAAGUAUGAAAGCAACUAUGCAUAAAGUAAAUGUCUCCAACUAUCAUGAUGUUCACAAUGUGAAAUAGUGAAGUUCCGUUGUUUACUAUUCUAAUCAAUGUCCAAGUAGUACACUAAGUCAUCAUCUGUCCACAUGUCAUAAUAUAUAUAUAUAUAUAUAGCCCAAUCUGAAGAGACCCACCCGAAGGCUGUCUAUGGCCCUGAGACCCACCCGUAGGCUGUCUGGCCGGUGCCGAGCCUAAUGGCCCCGUGGUAGUCAUCAUCCCCACCCUAGGGAUGAGCCUGUCCCACGGCAAUCCACUUCGGCGCCCAAUCCCGCACGGCGAAUAUGUAUCGCGAUGGCUAUCUCCGGAGUGCCGGCUUGUAGGGAGCGACCCUCACAAGCAUGUGCGAAUGAGCACAAUGGCAAGUAGUCAAACGAUCUGUCGCAAGUACCAAGUCCUCAUGUCUAAUAACAUGGAAUGUAUCGAGUGUCCCAAAGGCCUAUCUCUAUGUCAUCAUGUCUCUAACAUGGAAUAUAUAUAGCAGAUGUACAAAGGCCUAUCAAUAUAUCUCUAUGUUGCAGUUCCAUAGUUCACUAGUUUCGAGUGCCCCUUUAUGACACUCUUGUUUUCUAUGUCAAAACAUGGCAACUAUGUUCCAAAGCACAUAUUCCAAGUCAUAAUCCUCAUAAGAGAUGUAUUUUCCACUUGUAAAAUAAACACUUUUCCCAUAUGCAUGCAUUCUACUCAUAUAGCUCUACUAUAUAGUGAAAUUUUCAUAAUACACGAGGCAUGCAUUUUAAGUGCUCUAAAAUUCAUAUAAAUCCCAUUUAGCAUAGAAAUGAACUUAAAAAUAUUUUACAAUAAGUAGAAAGAGCAUAGGGGUCAUUUCGCCCCAUUUCCCCGAAGCCAAACCCACCGAUGGCAACGAAACUCCUCGUGCGCUCCAACGAGGGUGUCCUCUAGUCUCCUAGUACCCUAGAGGUAGAGAAACAUGCGUCACACGAACGAAACGAACCAUCAAUAGCUCAAUCAUUAAGCUAAUCAAGUAUAGGUGAGAAGAACUCACCUCUAGUGCAAAAAUCUCCUCUAAAGCUCCAAAAUGAAGCUAGGGCUCAUCCAAUCCAACCUAAUGGAAGCCUCUAAUCCAAUCAAUCUAGCUUCAAAAGCCCUAGAUUCAAAAUGCCCAAAAUAAACCCUAAUAUCACAAUCUAGGGUUUCAUCUCAUGAAAUCCAAUAAAACUCAAAUCUAGAGGAAGAUAGUGUAAUGCUUACCUCUUAGAAGCUUCAAAUCAAGCUCUAAAUCCUUUAAAUCCCAAGAUCUAUCCUCCACUUAGCUCCAAAUCCAAGCUUCUAGCUCCAUCAAUGGUGGAGAAGCAUAAAAGAGGAAAGAAAAGGGAUUAAUCCUUCAAAAUCUAGGCUAGAGGGAGAUUAAAACCAAAGAGAAGCAAAGAGAAGCUCUCCUUACCUUGCUCCCUGCAGUGGCAAGCUCAAAGAAGAGCCCUAGGGGCGUGGGUGCUGUUAUAGUAUUGCUACAAUAGCAAAAACACCCCUGCAGAACAAACUGCACGAAAUCUGCCUCCUUGUACCGGUACACGGGCUCUUGUACCGGUACAAGGCCGACGAAAUUGCAAACCCGAGGCUCGGGUCGCGCGGUCUGCGGCUCUGUACCGGUACAAGCCCGAUGGCUGUACCGGUACAACCAUCAACCCUUGUACCGGUACAAGGCCAGUCUUGUUCCGGUACAAGCCCUGCUGCAGGCUACCCGAGAGCUGUCCAAAAAUUCCGAUUUUGGAAUUUUGGUGCCAAGUCCCACUCCAACAUCCUCGGGAUGCGUGCCAGGGGUCGGGACACUAUCAACAACCCUCCAAAAACUGUGGGAAAGCUCCAAACACAGAUCAAACACUCGAAUCUUGCGAUUUGCUAAGAUCCAGUGUAUUACAAACCGUGUGCCUCCGGGACUAAGCAGGAGCACCAGCGGAUAGAUCUCGACGUGCUAGACAUCGUGCUUGCUAUCCGAAGCAAGAAUGACAACCGAGGAGCAUACUGGAGUGACGUCAAAUACUGCGAAGUAGGUACAUUGGGAGCGACGAAGGCGUCUCAGCAAUACGGAGCCUCUUCAGCAAGAUUCGAGGUGAGCAUGGUGAUCAGCGAUGGCCAGGAAUCAUCGUGCUCACCUUAAGGAGGAUCACGGAGGCUCGAAUGGCUGGAGAAGUGCAAAAAGGCUAAAAUGAGCCCUAGCUCAACAAGGCAAGGAGUAUCUCAACUCCGGCUGGCUGCCGGCGACUUGUCGGCGGGCGUGCUGGCCGAGGUUGGGUGCGGAGGUCGAGGGGAGUCCAGUGCUUCCCCUGGCUAGAGACGGGGAGCGGCGGCAGCGGAGGUAGGAGGAGCUCGGCCAGCAUAGAUCCCGGCCAAGCUACGAAGAGCCAAGCGGCGACGACGACGGCGAGGGCAGGUCAGGAUCGUCCAUGGCAGACCUCCUAAGGAAGGGGGAGGCGGCAGUGAUCACGAGUGACGGCAGCGAUUGCGACUUGGAGAGGGGCGGCUCCUCUCUGCUCGAGUCUGCGCAGGAGGAGCCAAGCGGCCGUGGUGGCCUCGACGGCGCUUAGGGUCGCCGGAUUCGGGGUCGCCAGAGGUGGGGCGACGCAUGGAGGGCCUGAGGGAAAGGCGCAGCCCUCCAUGCAGCUCAAGUCAGAGAGAUAAAGAGAGAGGGAGGGAGAGAAAAAGUGAGAAAGCAAGGUUGGGGAGCUUCUCCGGUGGCCGGAGGAGGUCGCCAGCAGCCGGGGAGGGACACGGUGCAUGCAGAGGAAGCGGGGGAGGUAGUUGGGGCAUGUGAAAAAUGUUAAGUAUUUUGUGUUGGCAAGUUUCGUGAUUUGAGUCGGAGUCUUGAAGUGUUCGGUGCGAAAUUGUCGAAGAUCGAAAAAUCCAAGAUUCUGAGAACUCAGAAACAUCUCACGGCGUGAAUCACGAUGCUUAGGUAAAGUUUUAAUUCAUGUUAUAGUGAUUCACAUUUAGUUAUAGACGUUAGAAUCAUAUAAAUCAAAUAUUAAAGGAUUAGAAGUGGUUCGAGUGAUGCAAUUCUAGAAAUUACAUUGAGUAUCGGUACUGCAAUGGCAGGGUACCGGUACUAUGGGCUGGUUCCGGUACUGCAUUGGCCUGGUACCGGUACUCAGCUUGAGGAAUUUUCUGUUCCGUCAUGUGGUACCGGUACCAACUUACGCAGUACCGGUACGCAGUGUAAAAUUCCUUAUAUGGUUUCUAAUCCGACUCUAAUUGAUUCUAAAGUUUAUAAAUAAGCUAUUGGAGUUCUCUAAUUGAUAGAACAUCACGAAAAUACAUGAUUGAGAAACCCUAGAGGCUAGGUUUUCAUUCUAAACCUAUUUUUCAUAAAUUAGCCUCUUUUAGAUCAAUUCGAGGUAUUGAAAUUUGAUAUCUAUAUGUCGAAUUGAUCUACGCUUCGCUUAGAGAUUCUUCUCUGGUUCUUCAUCGAUACUCUAAGCAAAGGAUCACCAUAAUCAUGGUAUUCUUCAUGAACGGUGUCGUGGAUUCGGCGUGAUCAAAGACGGUUCAAGGAUUCAGAUCGAGAGCUCGUGGAUUCGAGUGGUGUUCAUGGAUUCAGACGUGUGCAUGGUGUUCGUGGAUUUGAGCGUGAGGGCGUGGACAACCCGAAGGAUUGUGCGAGAUUCAUAGAAGGUGCGAGAUUCAUAGAAGGUUAAGAGAGGUCGAGUCCAUGGAGUCGGUAAUCAUCUUGUAAUCUUUUCUCUUAGUGAAUUAUAUUUUCGCGUAUUGGUCCUGCGGGUUUUUCUCCAAAGUGGAGUUUCCCAUGUAAAUCUCGGUGUGCUAUUUUUAUUUUUCGCAUUUAAUUUUUAUCGCAUUGAGAUUUGUGGUUUUGGCCUAUUCACCUAUUCACCCCCCCUCUAGGUGUUUGAUAGUACCUAGAUAAAAGAUCCUAGGGUUCCUCGUAACGUACAAAAAGUGCACGAUCACACUUUCACGUGCGAUCUCGCGUGAUUCGGUAUAUAAAAUGUCAGGGGUUUCGCAAAAAAUACGAAUUUCCAAUUUUGAACCCUCCUCGAGAAACGUGCAAUUUUGGGUGAUCCGCUUGUCAGAUCUGUGAAUGGACUGUGCCAACGCUUCCGGCACUGUCGGACCUUCAAGAUCAUGUUCUUCUUUCGCAUAAUUUGGUCACGGAUUCGCAUCAAACCACACCCUCUCUCGAUUCACAUAUAUAUAUAUAGCCACGUGUGUGUGUGUGUAUAUAUAUAUAGAACUAGGCUGGAAUACUAUCAAUAUUACUAAUCUAUUGGUGCUAUUAGUCUUUUAGCCUUUGGAUUAGGGAAUGUGAGAUUAGGAUGAUGUGGGCCCUCUAGGGUUGAGUGGAUGGUUGGUUAAAUAGUAUAAUCUAACGGAUAAAAAUAAUCAAAGAGUUAAAUCUAACGAUGGAAAACUCGAUAGCACCAAGCCCUUGGUGCUAUCGAUAGUAUACCAGCCGGACUCUAUAUAUAUAUAUAUAUAUAUAUAUAUAUAGAACUCGACUGGAAUACUAUCAAUAGCACCAUAUAGAUAUACAUAUAGAACUAGACUGGAAUACUAUCAAUAGCACCAAGCUAUUGGUGCUAUUAGGUUUUUGGCCCUUGGAUAAAAAAAAAAAAAAGGUUAGGAUGAUGUGGGCUUAUUAGGGUUGAGUGAGUUAUUGGUUGAAUAAUAUAAUCUAACGGAUGAAAAUAGUCAAAGGGUUAAAUCUAACGAUAAAAAACUCGAUAGCACCAAACGCUUAGUACUACCGACAGUAUCCCAGCCGGACUAUAUAUAUAUAUGAGCUAGGCUGGUAUGCUAUCGGUAGCACGGAAGCCUCCGUACUACCAAGUUGUUUUCAAUGAUGUAGCUUCCAAAUCAACGAUCUGCUUCAUUAGAGUUGAUCUACACUAUUAAAAGUAUUUGGAAACUAAAUUUCAUAAAUUUUUGGCAUCAUUUACCUAUCAAACGAGUAGUUUAAAAAUGAAUGGCUGAAAAUAAAAAUCUCCUAAAAAAUGAUGAUAAAAGGCUUGAAUUUAAGAUCAUACAUACUGAUCUUACUCUAAAUAGUGAAAAGAAUUUUCUAUAAAAAUUUCAUCAGAUUUGAAUUAUUUUUCACCGUUAAAUUUACAAACCCAUAACAUCUACCACUAAAAUUGUCAAUUUUGAGACCUUUUGAUUACUAGCCAAAUGAUGUCGAAAAAUUAUGAAAUUUAGUUUCUAAAUACUUUUGAUGGUGUAGAUCAAGUUUAACGGAGCCGAUCGUUGAUUUCAAAGCCGCAUCAUUGAAAACAACUUGGUAGCACGGAGGCCUCCGUACUACCGAUAGUAUACCAGCCUAACUCUAUAUAUAUAUAUAGAGAGAGAGAGAGUCCGGCUAUGGUGCUUGUAAAAAGCACCAAGCACUUGGUGCUUGUAAAUUUUUUUACCGUUAGAUCUCUGCCUUUGAUCAUUUUUACCCGUUGGAUCAUGAUAUUUAACCAACCACCCACUCAACCCUAGGCUGCCCACAUUAUCCUAACCACACAUUCCUUAAUCCAAGGGCCAAAAACUUACAAGCACCAAUGACUUGGUACUUUAAAAGCAUAGGAGCUCAAUUCUCUCUCUCUCUCUCUCUAUACAUAUAUAUAUAUAUAUAUAUAUAUAUAUAUAAAAUUCAAAUUCGAUCUUGGUUGAAUUCCUCAAUUCCAAAUAUCCCAGAUAUUACAUUUUCUUUGUACCAAAAUAUCAUAUUCUUUAAUUUCCAAACCGUACAAUAAUAUAGUCAAACUCUACUUUAUAAUAAAUUGCCUAGGAAUCCAACGAUAGGGAAAAAAAGAAGAAGACUAGUAUACAUUUUUAAUGAUUAUUUCUAAUUUUAUAUGUCUCAAGCUGUUAGUUGGUACACUAAUUCAAUAAAAACUAUUUGAAAAAUAAUAUAACUACAUUCAACUUCAAUUUUAAAAAUCGAAAUUGUUUAUUCAGUUAUAUUUUUCUUUAAGAUUUGUUUGUUCUACAUGUGCAGGCUUCGUUUUGUUUUGCUUACGAGAGAGAUAUUAUAGAAUAAUUAUUUAAUUUAAAUUAAUGUAAGUCCAAUUAGGGUAAGUUGCACUUUUUGUUUCAAACUUCAAGAUGACUGGCAAUUCGGUACUCAAAUUUUAAUUUGUUACAAUUUAUGCAUUAAACCUUGUAAAAUAUUACUAUUAAGUUCGGCAGCUUAAUUAAGUUGACUGGUACUGAUAUUUCACUAAUGUGUUAGUUAUGUGGCGCUUGAAUAAUUAUCACGUCAUUGAUUUAAAAACUAUUAUAUUGCUAGCAUAUUAAUGAUAUAUUAUUAUUUAACCAAAUAAACUAAACUGUGUGAGUUAAUUCUAAUAAUUUAAAAAGUUUGAGUUGGAAAACAUAACAAAUUAAAGUUAGAGGACUAAAAUGUCACUCUGCUCAAAAUUUUAGGACUAAGAGUGCAAUUUAGGCCAAAGUGGGUGAAGUAUAGUGAAGAAGUGGAUUUGGUGAGGUCCAUGUUGGGUUCUGAGGGCGUCGGAACGAUUAGAAAAAGUAUCGAUAAAACUUGAAGAAAGUUAGGAGUAAAUAAAAAUUUUUCAAAAAAUGGUUGUACUUCAAAAUAUAAUUGUGUUUAUAUGAAAAAACUAUAAUUCUCUAAAGUUUGGCAGUGUUUCACAUAUGUAGAGGAGUUUUGGUUGUGUUGCAUUUGAUUUGGAGAGAAAACGGAAUGAAAAUCGGAGUUUUAGAGCGAAAAUGAGAAGAAAAUAGAAAGGCUGAAAACACUGUUCACAGUGUUAGGGUUCGGACCCUGUGGCAAGAUCCGGACAUUGACUGUGAAAAUGCUCGAAAUGAAGUACGGGUUCCGGACCUUAAUAGAGGGUUCGGACCCUGUGUUGUUUGGGGGUUAUAAAAGGGACCCCACAGGCCUUCUCCUCUCAUUCUCUCCCUCCCACAUGAGAAAAGAAAAGGGUUUUCCCUCUCUCGUGCUUUCUAGCAUCUCACUCCCUCUGUCAUGCAAGCUCUCCACCAAAGAGAAGAAAUUGGAAAUUUUGGAAGCUUCAAGUAAUUAGUGGAGUUUGGAAGAGCUCUCUAAUGGUGGACCAAGUUACUUUAGAUGGUGGCCAAGGCGAGAUUUCAUAGAUUUGAGUUAGGGUUUUGGUUGAUCCUUUACAAUUGAUAAUUUUGGAAGUCCUAAAUGAUUCUAAACUAGAUUGAGUAGAGUUUUAUCAUGGAUUUUGGAGUUUUCUUGUAGAACUUGAAACCCUAGGGUUAGAAUUGGAGUUUUUGUCUCUAAGAGAUUUGGAGCUAAAUUGACCUUAUAAAUUCCAAAUUGAAGGAUAGUUUGACGCAGGGGAUAACUUCGAUUUGGAUUACAACGAGGUUACAGCGCCAAUUAGGAGAUUUUGCCGAAUUUCAUUCGUUAGGCUUGGGUCGAACCGAAUCGGCGUCGGAAAUCAAAUUGCUUGGAAAUCCUAGCAAUUUGCAAUUAACCAAGGUGGGUGUUUCUCUCCGAAAUGGUUGGAUUUCUUCCUUUGUCUAACUCCAUUCUUUGUGCAUAUAAGUAUAUGUGUGAGAUUCUGUUUGUUAGGGUUCAAGUUAUCCUUUUUCCAUGUGAAUUGCAUGCUUCCCAAGUUAAUAAGUAGACAAUUGUGAUUGAGAACUUUACACUUAGGAUGCAUGAGUAUAAUGCCAUGUGAACCCUUGUGAUACAAGAACUAGUUGUUUGGACAUAGAAAAUAUAGUGAAAUAUUAGGUAUCAUUGUGAUUGUUAAACAUGAACCUAGUGAUGGAAAUAUGGAUUGGGUAUCCUAUUGAACAAGUAGAGAACAUGAACAUUAUGUAUCAUGAUUGUACAAGUGAGUUUGUUGUCAUAGUUGCACAGAAUUUUAGAUGAGCAUAUUAGGGGUUGGUAGAUCUCUGAAUGUUGCUACCCUGAUUAGUAGGGUGUCCUCAAGAUAAGAGGACUGGAUCGUACUCACGUUAUUUGUUUGGCUUGUGGUAGUCGCGAUACUACAAGCAGUGAGCUGCAGAGUUGUCACGUAUGGAUUAAACGAAAUUCUUCCCAGCAGACGAUCCUAAAUUGGUGAUAGUCCCCAUGGGCCCUAGUUUGGUGAGUGAGCUUGACCUUUGGGUGAGCUGGAAUGAUUGGGUCAUAAGUAAAUAGAUAGCCAAAUUGAGCAUAUUGAGCCUUGGAACCUAUUUCAUGUUGUAAAGGCAUAGUAGUGUUUGUGUUCAUUUCAGCUUAUGCAUAGUAUAGUUGUUAUACUACUUUUCUAUUCUUUUAUCUACUUAUGCUUUGAUGGACCUAGUGGAAAAAUUGGGAGGUCGGCGGCCGAACCCACUAGGAACUUCUUAUAGUUCUCACCCCCUAUUUUGCAGAGCCAACCAUUAGCGGAGCGGUAUCGGACCGAGGCAUGAGCGUUGCGCCAUAGCUACCAAGGUUACCCUGUGUAAAUUAUCCUUGUGUACGAUACGAAAAAUUGUAAAACCUAUUGUGGAAUGUAUAGAACAAUGUAUAGAGAGCACAUUAUGUACUUGAUGGUUAAAAGCUUGCAUAUUGUAUCAAAAUAGAAGAUAGCAAAUGUAUGUACCUUGUGGAUGAUUGAAUGUUGUAAUAGCUAGGUUUAAAUUCUCACUCUUGUGAUAUGCCCUCGUGCAACUGUGCUAUAUUAUUUUUUCUAGUGAAAUUCAAUAUACUUGUUUUUGUUUGCAUCUUAGGGGAUAGGAAAAACUCUGUCGAUUCGGCAGUUUGUGUACGUGCUUGAACUGACCAAAGUGGCGAUGUCGGGGCGUGAAAUCAACCUCCUAUCUUUAUGUCUUUGGAUGUGACGCUUAUACAUGAAAAUCGAAAGAGAAGAGGUCAAAUUAAAUAAGAAUGCUCGAUGGUAUAUAUUUUUCGGCUACAUGAAAAGUGUUAAGAGGUAUCAAUUGUGAGACCCUACUACAUACAAUAUAAUCGGAAGGAGAGGCAAAGAGAGAGAGAGAGUGUCACGCCCCGAACGCAGUCCAAUUUGGCCGGUUCGAACCCGUCGAACAGAUGCCGAACGAACAGAGCCUCCCCUGUCCGCCCAAGGCUCAACAACAGGUACAGAUAGAGUAAAAUUUGCACAUACGGAAGCAAACAUAAUGGCUUGCACAAGGGCAAGCAAUAGCCAAAGUGAAAGUACUAAACUAAUCAUCAACAAGUAAUAUGAUUAAAUUUAAAUCACAUACAUGCAUUCAACUUCGAAGUUCUUUUACAAUCUUUGCACCAUUUCUUUUAUACAUCUCAAAUCUCCAAAAUAAAUCUUUGCAUUUAACAUCAUAAAGUAUCUUUAAUACAUUU